GGGGAAUAUUGCACAAUGGGCGAAAGCCUGAUGCAGCAACGCCGCGUGAGGGACGACGGCCUUCGGGUUGUAAACCUCUUUUAGCAGGGAAGAAGCGAAAGUGACGGUACCUGCAGAAAAAGCACCGGCUAACUACGUGCCAGCAGCCGCGGUAAUACGUAGGGUGCAAGCGUUAUCCGGAAUUAUUGGGCGUAAAGAGCUCGUAGGCGGUUUGUCGCGUCUGCUGUGAAAACUGGAGGCUCAACCUCCAGCCUGCAGUGGGUACGGGCAGACUAGAGUGCGGUAGGGGAGACUGGAAUUCCUGGUGUAGCGGUGGAAUGCGCAGAUAUCAGGAGGAACACCGAUGGCGAAGGCAGGUCUCUGGGCCGUAACUGACGCUGAGGAGCGAAAGCGUGGGGAGCGAAC
rnacentral:rRNA from 1 species